rnacentral:lncRNA from 1 species
GAGUCAUCAUGCCUCGCCUGUAAGAUGAGAAAAUCAAGGCCCAGAAAGAAGGUGACUGACUAUUGGUCUCAGCAACACUGACAGUGAACAAAUCAAACAAGAAGGCAGGCACGGUGGCUGAUGCCUGUAAUCCUGUCAUUUUGGGAGAUGGAGGCGGGUGGAUCACUUAAGCCCAGGAGUUCAAGACAAGCCUGGGGAACAUGGCAAAGCCCUGUCUCUACAAAAAAUACAAAAACUAGCCAGGUGUGGUGGCACGCAUCUGUAGUCCCAGCUACUGGGAAGGCUGAGAGGUGGGAGGAUCACUUGAGCCCUGGAGGUUGAGGCUGCAGUGAGCCAUGAUUGCACCACUGCCCUCCAGCCUGGGCGACAGAGUGAGACCUUGUCUCAAAAAUAUUUUAAAAAUUAAACAAACAAGAGGGCUUAAGUGUCACAACCAUCAAUGGGGAAAGUGUCCGUGCAUAAUUUAUUUCUGGAAGCCCUGAGAAGAACAAGCAUCAACAGCUUUCUGAGAGACUUAUAACUUUUAGCUGAGGGAAUCUCAAUAUUUAACCAAAUAACACUUGAAGAAAAGCAGAAAUCAUCGAGACAGCAGCUCCUGGGAACUAGGUUUUAUGAUGUGUUCUAAAGACAUAAGCGAGAAGCCUGCUGUCACUUGUUAGCUGUGUGCUGAAGUGCAGUUUGGGGUGUCUUUAGGGCAGGUAAUAAAUUCCUUUCAGAGAUUGAAAUCACAUACCAACGUGAAUCUUCCACAUCCCUGAAAACUACUUAGGCAAGAUGCCUCACAUGACACGGAACUCUCGAUUUGGCAACACAUGUUGGGGUUCAGCCCCCCACAAUCCUGGCACAGUGUGGGUGCUCGCUAAAUAUUUAUUUGGAUAAAAUGGGCUUUCCUUAACUUUACAGUUUUCUGGGGAUAGAAGACUCAGGAAACAUGAGAGAGCAGUAUAAAAUGUGUAAGUACACAGUGGAAGGCUGGGGUUCCUAGUGAGGAUUUUAGAAUCUCACAAACGAAAGCAGCCAGACACAAAAAAAUACGUGCAAUAUGAUUCCAUGUACAUGAAGAACAAAUGUGGAUCAAAUUAACUUAUGCCAUUAGAAGCGAGAAUAUUGGUUACCUUUGGGGACCAGGGUUGGGGGUGAGUGUCUGGGAAAGAGAACUUCUAGGGUGCUAUUAACCCUAGCCCUAUUCUAUUUCUUAAUCGGGGGGCUGGGUGCCUCUAUGGAUUCACUUUGUGAUAAUUUAUCAAAUGGUUCUGUAUGUG